rnacentral:misc_RNA from 1 species
GAUGAAGAACGCAGUGAAAUGCGAUAGGUAAUGUGAAUUGCAGAAUUCAGUGAAUCAUCGAAUCUUUGAACGCACAUUGCGCCCUUUGGUAUUCCUUAGGGCAUGCCUGUCCGAGCGUCAUUGCUGCCCUCCAGCCCGGCUGGUGUGUUGGGCCCCGUCCCCCUUCCCGGGGGGACGGGCCCGAAAGGCAGCGGCGGCACCGCGUCCGGUCCUCGAGCGUAUGGGGCUUUGUCACCCGCUCUUGUAGGCCCGGCCGGCGCCAGCCGACCCCCUCAAUCUAUUUUUCAGGUUGACCUCGGAUCAGGUAGGGAUACCCGCUGAACUUAAGCAUAUCAAUAAGCGGAGGA